GUAUCAAUUACAACCAAGCAUGGUAAAGUACAAAAAAUUGGACUGAAAAUCCUCGUGUCGGCAGUUCGAUUCUGCCUCUGGCCACCA
rnacentral:tRNA from 1 species